rnacentral:rRNA from 1 species
CUUUUAUGGAGAGUUUGAUCCUGGCUCAGGACGAACGCUGGCGGCGUGCCUAAUACAUGCAAGUCGAGCGGAUG